AUGAGGCUCCCUGCUCAGCUCCUGGGACUGCUAAUGCUUUGGGUCCCUGGAACUAGUGGGGACAUUCUGUUGACCCAGACUCCACUGUCCCUGCCCGUCACACCUGGAGAGCCGGCCUCCAUCUCCUGCAGGUCCAGUCAGAGCCUCCUGCAUAGUAAUGGAAACGCCUACUUACAUUGCUACCUGCAGAAGCCAGGCCAGUCUCCACAGCUCUUGAUUUAUGAGGUUUCCAACCGGGCCUCUGGAGUCCCAGACAGGUUCAGUGGCAGUGGGUCAGACACUGAUUUCACACUGAAAAUCAACCUGGUGGAGGCUGAGGAUGUUGGGGUUUAUUCCUGCAUGCAGACUACACAAUGA